ACUAGGUUGGUGCAAAUUUAAUUACGGUGUUUGCCUUUUUUUUUUUUUUUAAAGACAAAAACUGCAAUUACUUUUGCACCUACCUAAU
rnacentral:miRNA from 10 species